CAUGGUCCACCAACAGUCCAAGUUUUUUCAGUAUCUCCAUUUGACCACAAAAAGGAGAUACAUAAAUCCUGGACUGUUGGUGGGCCAU